GAAAUACUCCCUCCAUCCGAAAAUACUUGUCCUCGAAAUGGUUGUAUCUAGACUUAUUUUAGUUAUAGAUACAUUCAUUUUAUCCAUUUUGAGGACAAGUAUUUCCGGACGGAGGGAGUAAUUC
rnacentral:pre_miRNA from 1 species